rnacentral:rRNA from 1 species
GACGAACGCUGGCGGCGUGCUUAACACAUGCAAGUCGAACGGAAAGGCCCUGCUUUUGUGGGGUUCUCGAGUGGCGAACGGGUGAGUAACACGCGUGUAACAUGCCCUUGACUUUGGGAUAACUUCAGGAAACUGGGGCUAAUACAGGUUAGGAGCUUUUGCUGCAUGUUGGUGGUUGGUAAGUUUCGGCGGUUGGGGCUGGACUCGCGGCUUAUCAGCUUGUUGGGGGAGUAGUGGCUUACAAAGGCUUUGACGGGUAGCAGGCCUGAGCGGGGGGCCGGCCACAUUGGGACUGAGAUACGGCCCAGACUCCUACGGGAGGCAGCAGUGGGGAAUAUUGCACAAUGGGCGGAAGCCUGAUGCAGCAACGCCGCGUGCGGGAUGACGGCCUUCGGGUUGUAAACCGCUUUCGCCUGUGACGAAGCGUGAGUGACGGUAAUGGGUAAAGAAGCACCGGCUAACUACGUG